AUUUAAAUAGCUUAUAAUAUAGAGCAUAAUAUUGAAGAUAUUAAGGAGAUAAAAUUAUCUUUAAAUA
rnacentral:tRNA from 1 species